rnacentral:lncRNA from 1 species
UAUGUAGGAGCUCCGAGCCGCAUCAGCUUCUCUGCUUCUCGGCCGCUCGAGCUCGGAUUUUGUGCUGAAUUAGUGGGGGUUUACCAUCGCCAGUAAAAUACUCCCGAGUUAGUUUUAUGGGGUUGGAUUGGUAAAAUUUUUCUUUGCAGAAGUUUAGCUUUCGUUGACGUUGCUUCUCGUGUGUCUGUGUUUCGAUCAUGGGAUGCGAAUUUAGGUGUUUGGCCAUGGUUAAAUUUUUAGAUGGAUUGAGCUCGAUUUUAAGCUGUCGAUUGGACUCCAGCUAUAAGCUGUCCUUGUUAGUUGUUAGUACAGAUUCAUUUCAACCAAUAGCUGGACGAAGGCGCGUCUUCUCUGUACGUGCGAUAGGCUGGAUUUUAGGACCAGUGGAAUUGCAAUGUGUUUGUUGCUGUUUCGGUGGAUUUCAGAAUUUCAUAGGCCCCAUCAAGGAAUUUACUCUCAGAUGGUAUUGAGAGGCUUUGCUCUGGAUAUUUUUGGCUAUUUACCUUACAAUUGUGCUCAGCCACUUACCCUACUAUGAGAUCGUGAUUCAAGAUGAUGAAAUCUGAUGGUAACUAUUUAGAACUUGUCGUAGGAGACACUUUCCUCUACCCCGAGCAAUCAGUGCUUCUUCGUUUUGACUGGUUUGAUUUGAAUUAUAUCUGUUCCUGUUCGGAGGGAUUGAUUGUUUUGCUUUUACUGUCCCAGGAGUUUGAUGUGUGAAAGCCAUCAAAUAAAAUGGUGUCCUGCAUGUGCAAAUUCAGAAUCCUGUUUGCUACGAACUACUGAUAUUAUACAAGUGUUAUCAUUUGAGAAUCUUUCUUAGUUUUGGUGUUCCGUUGUUCCAGUGGAUAUUAAUUUUAUGUAUCUUGUGCUCUUUUUUCUUUGCUCGACUGUAGUUUCCAAAUGGCUAUCCUCGUGAUAUUUUAGUUUGAUCUUGAUAUAUGGUAUACUGGACAUUGCAGGCUGCUGCUUCCUGAUCUGCCCAUCAAGGGAGGAGGCUGACAAGGCAGUGAAUGCAUAUCACAACAAACGCACACUUCCUGGGGUAUGCAGACACGACCCUUCUUGUUUCACAUGUAUCUGCUUGGGUAACUCGGGUAUAAUUUAACCAACUGAUGCAUCUGAGGGUUCCUUCUUUCUGGAUCUGUUGUUGUUGGGAGCUCUUGAAUGCUGGGUAUUGUUGGCAAUGGAUGAACCAGGAACGGAGUACUCCAUCCGUAAAGAAAUAUAAGAGCUUUUAGAAUCACUAAGAGAGUGAUCUAAACGCUCUUAUAUUUCUUUACGGAGGGAGUACAUGUCUACGCCAGUCUAGUUAGGGUUAAGUCUUAAAUGAAUACUUAGUGAGAGAUACCCAGGAAGUUGGCUCAUUAUUGGUGAUCUGUGAAGUUUUUUUGUGACUGACCUUUGUCGCUAUCUUUGCAUUUAAUAUAACCAUUUUAAGGUUGCCCAUUUAGCCCAAACUAGCUAAAUACCCGUGCGUUGCAACGGGGCAACUUUAUUCUAGUAGUUCAACAUAGGAAAAUUUGAUUGGAUCUAGUUCCAGUUAUGGUACAGUUGAACCCUACUGCUUGAAACUGUAGGGUAUAAGCCCCUGCCACUUAGAAUUAGUACUUCCAUCCAAUUUUCCAGCCCUUCCACUUGGAUGUCAAUGACAGUUCGGAAAGGUUAAAGACUUGAUCUCAAUCCUACGAUUCCCAUUUGCAUCUCUAGAUAUGAAGGAUGUUACAUUGUUGUACGUGACAAGUAUCAGUUGAUUGUCUUCUCUUUUCUUGUAGAAUUGAUGUAGUCAAUCAUAUCUAACCCUUAAAGCCAGCUAUCCUUGAUAUGUGCGACUUUGGAUAAAUUCAGAGCUGAUACUUUACCUUAGCUAAGAAUGAUGCACCAGUUGUCCCAAUCAUGAUUUUUUAGAUCGUGUUGACUGGUAAUCUCCAUAUGGAACGGCAGUCCAAUGGCUAGUAGUAGUUCUUUUAGUGAUCGCAGAUUUAUUUUUCAACAUCUUCUUUGCAUAUUCCCUGAACACCAAUAUAAUCUUGCAGGGCUGCUCUUACUUCUCUCUGAAUGUUAUUAAUGCCCCAUUUUUCCUCUGUUUGAAACCAGGCCCCGAGUCCAUUGCAAGUAAAAUAUGCCGAUGGAGAGUUGGAAAGGCUGGGUAAGACACUCCCUAAAAUCGAACUUGUGUAUCAUUUAUUGGUAGAAUUUUAUUUUGUUUCUCAUCUGACAUGUCUACACUGUUACUUCCAGAGCACAAACUUUUCAUCGGAAUGCUCCCCAAAAAUGUAACAGAUGUUGAAAUGACUGAUUUAUUUUCACAAUAUGGAAAUAUCAAGGACCUGCAGAUUUUGAGAGGUUCACAACAGACGAGCAAAGGUAAAAGUUUCUUCUGGGAACAGUUGAUUUAUUAUGACUUGAACCGAAUAUUACUUUUCUUGUAGACUUUGCACAUUUAGCUGCUUACCAGCCGUGGAUUUUUGCAGCUGGCUGUGCCUUUCUGAAGUAUGAAACAAAAGAGCAGGCAGUGGCAGCUAUCGAAGCUCUAAACGGGAAGCACAAAAUAGAGGUUCGUCAAAACAUAAGGAUUCUAAACAAUUCCAACUCUCUUUAGUAAAAUUCGAAAUCAGUUGCAGUGCUGCAAAGCAUCACAAAGAGAGAGAGGGAGAAGGGAACUUUUAAUAUAUGAAGCAAAAGAUACAGCUGUACGUCCAGCUCAAAUCAACCAUAGAUGAGCACAGAAAUUGCUUUCCCCAUGUGUGUGGUGGAUUCUGCUGACCUAUUUGAUCUGAACAUUCUUGAUCUCCUAUGAGAAAUGGGAACAAGGGUUACAAAAACAGGAACUAUCUUCAUUUUGUUGCUGCAUUUUGAGUUAAAGAAAAUCAGAAUCUAACGGCUGGAAGUUUGAAAUCAUGGACAUUUGUGUUAGUUAUUUCCCUUCCUUCUGCAACUUAAUGAUCGGUAAAAUAAACUCUGACAUGCCUUAAUUCUUUUUGUUAGGGUUCAAGUGUACCUUUGGUUGUGAAAUGGGCUGACACAGAAAAAGAAAGGCAGGCUCGAAAAGCACAAAAGGCUCAAUAUCCGCCGUCUAAUAUGUCAAAUGCAAAUGCAAUGCAGCAGAGUUCGUUAUUUGGUGCUUUACAGAUGGGAUAUGUGCCACCGUAUAAUGGCUUUGGCUACCAGGUGAAUUUAUGAUACUGAAAUCUGUAGCUUAUUGUGCCCAUACAGUAAAAGGAUAUUCCAAUAAUAUCAUUAUUACUCUUGCCGUAAGCAGAAAUAGCAGCACUUUCUAGCUUAUUCUUAGAAUGGAUUUUCAGUUUGCUGAAACAAAUGGCUGUUCAAGAAAGGCAUGUUUUGUGGAAAGUGGAAAUGUUUGUCUUCACCUUCCGCUCUUCAUGUUGUUCUAGGUCUAUAGCCUUUGUAUAGUUGUUGCACAUUUACUGUUGCAAACAACCAAACAGAAAAGGCCAUUGUCGUUUGCAACAGAGAAGGGCAUUGUUUUGAACUGCUGCAGUUUCUUAUCUUUCUUAAUGUGCCGGUAGUCUUAAGCAAGGUCCAAAAUGACUUGAAUCAGUGGCAUGCUAAUGCUGUAUGACCUUUUAUCAGUGCCCGCCACACUAGCCCUGAAUAUGAUUCGCCCUGUCUUGUGGUUUAUAACUCUCAAUUGUUGAUAUGUACAGCCACAAGGAACCUAUGGACUUAUGCAGUACCCUUUAUCUCCGAUGCAAAAUCAAGCAGGCUUCCAGAAUAUGGUUCAGCCUGUCAAUCAAGGAAGCUCAAUACGUGGCGUUAGUUCUGAACUAUCCCCUAAUUCAGUUGCUAGGUCAUUCAAUUCAAUGCAGUUGGGCAGCCCUUAUCCAGCUGGGCCUGGUAUGCAGUAUCCUGGGUCAUAUCCUGGUGGUGGCAUCAAUAGUCGUCCUUACAUGAAUUCUCAUAAUUCCGUUAAAGUUCCUAAUGCAAAUGCUACAUCUCCCACAUCUUCAAGUACCGGCAGCAACACUGGUCCUCAGCUAGAGGGUUUGUCUCCUUUAAUAUAGUUAUAUUCCAAUUUUCAUUUCUUCACAGGUAUAUUUUACAGAUGAUAUGUAUCAUGCGUGUGUGCAGGUCCUCCUGGAGCCAACUUGUUUAUCUAUCACAUCCCGCAAGAAUUCGGCGACCAAGAUCUAGCACAUGCAUUUCAGAGUUUUGGUAGAGUAUUGAGUGCCAAAGUAUUUGUAGACAAAGCAACUGGUGCUAGUAAAUGCUUCGGUAACUAACUCUUCAUGCUAGCUAGAUUUCCUAGAACUGUCAUCAUACCAGCAUGAUUUGUUAAUCCAUUCCUUGCUGGAUGCAGGUUUUGUAAGCUACGAUUCACCUGCUCCUGCGCAGGCAGCCAUAAGUAUGAUGAAUGGGUUCCAAUUAGGUGGUAAAAAGCUGAAAGUACAACUCAAGAGAGACAACAGCAAGCACAAUAAACUUUACUGACAGCAGCAGUGGAAACCCUCCAACACGAUCAGGAAAAACCGGUACAUAUGUGU